GAGUUUGAACCUGGCUCAGGAUGAACGCUGGCGGCGUGCCUAACACAUGCAAGUCGAACGGAUCCAUAUUGAAACCUAGUGAUGCAUGGAUUAGUGGCGGACGGGUGAGUAACGCGUGGAUAACCUGCCGUAUACAGGGGGAUAACACUUAGAAAUAGGUGCUAAUACCGCAUAAGCGCACGGUUCCGCAUGGAACAGUGUGAAAAACUCCGGUGGUAUGCGAUGGAUCCGCGUCUGAUUAGCCAGUUGGCGGGGUAACGGCCCACCAAAGCGACGAUCAGUAGCCGGCCUGAGAGGGUGAACGGCCACAUUGGGACUGAGACACGGCCCAAACUCCUACGGGAGGCAGCAGUGGGGAAUAUUGCACAAUGGGGGAAACCCUGAUGCAGCGACGCCGCGUGAGUGAAGAAGUAUCUCGGUACGUAAAGCUCUAUCAGCAGGGAAGAAAAUGACGGUACCUGACUA
rnacentral:rRNA from 1 species